GCUGCAACUGUUUAUUAAAAACACAGCACUGUGCAAAAUCGUAAGAUGACGUAUACGGUGUGACGCCUGCCCGGUGCCGGAAGGUUAAUUGAUGGGGUUAGCGUAAGCGAAGCUCUUGAUCGAAGCCCCGGUAAACGGCGGCCGUAACUAUAACGGUCCUAAGGUAGCGAAAUUCCUUGUCGGGUAAGUUCCGACCUGCACGAAUGGCGUAAUGAUGGCCACGCUGUCUCCACCCGAGACUCAGUGAAAUUGAAAUCGCUGUGAAGAUGCAGUGUACCCGCGGCUAGACGGAAAGACCCCGUGAACCUUUACUACAGCUUGGCACUGAACAUUGAACCUACAUGUGUAGGAUAGGUGGGAGGCUUUGAAGACGUGACGCCAGUUGCGUUGGAGCCGUCCUUGAAAUACCACCCUUGUAUGUUUGAUGUUCUAACGUUGGCCCCUAAUCGGGGUUGCGGACAGUGCCUGGUGGGUAGUUUGACUGGGGCGGUCUCCUCCCAAAGAGUAACGGAGGAGCACGAAGGUGGGCUAAUCACGGUUGGACAUCGUGAGGUUAGUGCAAUGGCAUAAGCCCGCUUAACUGCGAGAAUGACGGUUCGAGCAGGUGCGAAAGCAGGUCAUAGUGAUCCGGUGGUUCUGAAUGGAAGGGCCAUCGCUCAACGGAUAAAAGGUACUCCGGGGAUAACAGGCUGAUACCGCCCAAGAGUUCAUAUCGACGGCGGUGUUUGGCACCUCGAUGUCGGCUCAUCACAUCCUGGGGCUGAAGUCGGUCCCAAGGGUAUGGCUGUUCGCCAUUUAAAGUGGUACGCGAGCUGGGUUUAGAACGUCGUGAGACAGUUCGGUCCCUAUCUGCCGUGGGCGUUGGAAGAUUGAAGGGGGCUGCUCCUAGUACGAGAGGACCGGAGUGGACGAACCUCUGGUGUUCGGGUUGUGUCGCCAGACGCAUUGCCCGGUAGCUAAGUUCGGAAUCGAUAACCGCUGAAAGCAUCUAAGCGGGAAGCGAGCCCUGAGAUGAGUCUUCCCUGAUACUUUAAGUAUCCUGAAGGGUUGUUCGAGACUAGAACGUUGAUAGGCAGGGUGUGUAAGCGCUGUGAGGCGUUGAGCUAACCUGUACUAAUUGCCCGUGAGGCUUAACCAU
rnacentral:rRNA from 1 species